AUUUAUAUAGUUUAAAAAAAACCUUACAUUUUCACUGUAAAAAUAAAGAAUUUUCUUUUAUAAUUA
rnacentral:tRNA from 1 species